UGAACGCUGGCGGAAUGCUUUACACAUGCAAGUCGAACGGUAGAGGGGGCAACCCCUUGAGAGUGGCGAACGGGUGAGUAAUAUAUCGGAACGUGCCCAGUCGUGGGGGAUAACGUAGCGAAAGUUACGCUAAUACCGCAUACGAUCUAAGGAUGAAAGCGGGGGAUCGCAAGACCUCGCGCGACUGGAGCGGCCGAUAUCAGAUUAGGUAGUUGGUAGGGUAAAGGCCUACCAAGCCAACGAUCUGUAGCUGGUCUGAGAGGACGACCAGCCACACUGGAACUGAGACACGGUCCAGACUCCUACGGGAGGCAGCAGUGGGGAAUUUUGGACAAUGGGCGAAAGCCUGAUCCAGCCAUUCCGCGUGCAGGAUGAAGGCCCUCGGGUUGUAAACUGCUUUUGUACAGAACGAAAAGGUUUCUAUUAAUACUAGGAGCUCAUGACGGUACUGUAAGAAUAAGCACCGGCUAACUACGUGCCAGCAGCCGCGGUAAU
rnacentral:rRNA from 1 species